rnacentral:lncRNA from 1 species
GGACACACAAUACACGCCUGGAGAUUGAGAGAGUAGGCGCAGCUUUGGAGAGACCCUUUCCAAAAAACGUUCUGCUUUCAUCUUCUCCAAAGGAUCCCUAAAGAGUCCCCUUAUUCACGAACAAACCUUCUCCCAUCAGUUUGUCUUCUUUGACAAAACCAGACCAGCGAAAAACCAAACGGAGUUCUCUUCUCUCACGCCAACCACCACAGCCAGCAUUCCUCAUUCGAGUUGUUGCUUCACCGGAACUGAUCACCGGCGAGUGACAACGCCACUGGCACAGAUUUGGCCAGAAGCUCGAAGAUGCAGCCACGAUUCAAUUAUUCAUACAAAAAAUGAAAAUACUCUGUUUUCUUCUUGCAUCUUCGUGACUCUCGUCUCAAAAAUUAGAGGUGUCGUUUUCGGAUUUUCGUUCCAGAAUGGAGAUUGUUUGAGUUUUGAAAUCGAGUCGAGAUUCAAGGUCGUCGGUGGCAUCGAGGUACUGCCUGUUGGUUUUUCGCUUUGAUUGAGGUGUCGUUCGAAGUCGGUUCGUUUAAGUUCCAUCCGUCUUAAAUUCCGGCGUUAGCAGGCUGGCUUAUGUUGCUUGUGUAAUUGUUGAACACUUUCGCUAAUUGAAAGAUUGAUUUUCAGGUUCAUAAUAUGUUUUCCCCAUCUUAUUUAAAUUUAUUAGAUCUCCAUUACCAGUAAUCUGUUUUACUUUCA